CCCUUAGAUGUUCUGGGCUGCACGCGCGCUACACUGAUGCACUCAACGAGUUUACGACCUUGCCCGAUAGGGUUGGGUAAUCUUUUUAAAAUGCAUCGUGAUGGGGAUAGAUUAUUGCAAUUAUUAAUCUUCAACGAGGAAUUCCUAGUAAGCGCGAGUCAUCAGCUCGUGCUGAUUACGUCUCUGCCCUUUGUACACACCGCCCGUCGCUCCUACCGAUUGAGUGCUCAGGUGAAUAAUUCGGACUGCAGCAAUGUUUGGAUCCCGAACGUUGCAGCGGAAAGUUUAGUGAACCUUAUCACUUAGAGGAAGGAGAAGUCGUAACA
rnacentral:rRNA from 1 species